UACGGAGGAUGCAAGCGUUAUCCGGAAUGAUUGGGCGUAAAGAGUCCGUAGGUGGUAAUUCAAGUCUGUGGUUAAAGCGUGGAGCUCAACUCCAUAAAGGCCAUGGAAACUGAAUAACUAGAGUGAGGUAGGGGUAGAGGGAAUUCUCGGUGUAGCGGUGAAAUGCGUAGAUAUCGGGAAGAACACCGGUGGCGAAAGCGCUCUACUGGACCUUAACUGACACUGAGGGACGAAAGCUAGGGGAGCGAAAGGG
rnacentral:rRNA from 1 species